rnacentral:rRNA from 1 species
GAUGAACGCUGGCGGCGUGCCUAACACAUGCAAGUCGAGCGAAGCGGGGACGGGUGAGUAACACGUGGAUACCUUCCUAUAAGGCUGGGAUAACUUCGGGGAACCGGAGCUAAACCCGAUCCUUAUACAUGGAUCCGCGCUGCAUUCGCGAGUUGGUAAGGUAACGGCUUACCAAGGCAACGAUGCAUAGCCGACCUGAGAGGAUGAUCAGCCACACUGGAACGGAGACACGGUCCAGACUCCUACGGGAGGCAGCAGUAGGGAAUCUUGCGCAAUGGGCGAAAGCCUGACGGAGCAACGCCGCGUGAGUGAAGAAGGUCUUCGGAUCGUAAAGCUCUGUUAUUAGGGAAGCGGUACCUAAACAGAAAGCAACGGCUAACUACGUGCCAGCCGCCGCGGUAAUUC